GCCCUGUGGAGCGCCCCAACCGCACCCGGCGGCCCGCAGACCUGUGCUGGGCCCACGCAGCGAGGUGCGUCGCGCCUGUAACCAGUUGUCACCGCGCGUCCUGCGUUUCCUAGGGAGCUAGCGCGUUCCCAGCUCUUGAGAAAUUAGAGCACAAGAGGACCAGGCCAGGGUCUCACUGUAUCCCAGAAUAUCCUUGAACUUGGGGCAGCCCUCCCUGCCUCCGUCUCCCAAAGGCUGGGAUUACAGGAGUGCACCACCAUGCCUGGCUGACAUCCUGAAUGUGGGACAGUUUAUGAGACAACCGCCAUGAUCUUUUAAAAUUGACAAAAAAUCUGCCGUAUUUCCAGAGUCUAAAAUGAAUUCCCUUGACGUGCCUGCUCUGAGCUCCCAGGAAUCCUUAGUGUACUAAGAAACCUGAGAGUGCGAUAAAUAAUUGCCAAGGGUACCAGUGAUGCUCCGGAAGAAGACUGAUGCGCAGACAGUUUCUUCUGGAGACAAACCUGGGCUAGAAGAGUGGUGGCGCACACCUGUAAUCCCAGCACUCGGGAGGCUGAGGCAGGAGGAUCGCUGUGAUUUC